UUUCGGUCAUAUAACGUUGAAACACUGAUUCUCGUACGAUCACCGAAGUUAAAGAACGUCGAACCUGGUCAGUACCCAGAUGGGUGACCGCCCCGAAUAACAGGUGCUGUAAG